GUUCCCGGGCCUUGUACACACCGCCCGUCACACCAUGGGAGUGGGCUGCACCAGAAGUAGAUAGCUUAACCUUCGGGAGGGCGUUUACCACGGUGUGGUUCAUGACUGGGGUGAAGUCGUAACAAGGUAGCCCUAGGGGAACCUGGGGCUGGAUCACCUCCUUACUGA
rnacentral:rRNA from 4 species